GGGAUUGAAGCUUAUAUAGCAAUUAGCUGUUACCUAAUAGAUAGUGAUAAAUCUCACCUACCCUA
rnacentral:tRNA from 1 species